rnacentral:snRNA from 1 species
CAGCGGCUGGAAGAGCACCG